rnacentral:misc_RNA from 1 species
UCAAACUUGGUCAUUUAGAGGAAGUAAAAGUCGUAACAAGGUUUCCGUAGGUGAACCUGCGGAAGGAUCAUUACCGGUUUUCGGGUGCGUCUCGGCGCGCCCAAACCCCCAACCCUGUGAUUUUAUCUCAACCUGUUUCUUUGCCGGCCCCGGCCGGCAGAAGUUUUCUCAAACCCAUUGUAAUCGUGUCGUCUGAAAAAGUCAUGUUUGAUAAUGAAAUCAAAACUUUCAACAACGGAUCUCUUGGUUCUGGCAUCGAUGAAGAACGCAGC